rnacentral:rRNA from 1 species
AGAGUUUGAUCCUGGCUCAGGAUGAACGCUAGCGGCAGGCCUAAUACAUGCAAGUCGAGGGGCAGCACAGGUAGCAAUACUGGGUGGCGACCGGCAAACGGGUGCGGAACACGUACGCAACCUUCCUUGAAGCGGGGGAUAGCCCGAAGAAAUUCGGAUUAAUACCCCGUAGUAUGGUGAGAAGGCAUCUUCUUAUCAUU